UGUUUCUUCAUUUUUCCCCAAUUAUAUGUCAGGUUCCUUGUGAAAUCAGAAACCAUGGGGAUUCAUUAUUGCUAGGCUUGAUGGAAUUGCAAUUUUUUAACUAUGUAAUAAAUUAACAUUUAAUACUGAGAGAUUUCUUCUUAAACUAGAAGGUUGCUUUUGUUUUAAAGAAGACUUUUGCAAGGAGAAGCAAAAGAAACCAUUCAGAAAAUUCAGGAGAUAAAAAUCCUAUCCAAGCAAGUGAAUCUUUGAUCUUUGAAGCCAUUUACUUUGUCGGGAUAUCAUUUUGUGGUUAAAAAAAGGGGAGGAAGGAUUAAACAUCAAAAAUCACUGAGUCAAAAUUCUCUUAACUUUACCAAUUUUGUACUCUUCUGUUUCCAGUUUUUUUCAUAUACUUUUCUUUCCAUCCUGGUUAUCUUUGUUCUUUUCUAGCUCAUUUCCCACACUAAGAGAAGACAUAAAUAUAAAGUUCUAUAUAGAGUCAGAAUUCUCUCAGAAAUGCAAAUUUGUGUAACUGUCAAAGAAAAAAAUGUAUCACAUUUUUCUCAUUUGAUUCAAUGAUUAUUUUAUUGUCAGGCUGGUUAGGUUUAGGACCUUCACAGCCUGAGUUUUGUUUUUUUUUUUUUCCUUAUAAAUUUUCACUAAAUUAACAUGUUGACAUAUAUCAUUAGAAUUUCAGAUUUUGACUUUACCAUUAACCAGAGUCUAUUUCAGGGGCUUUGAGGGCAUUGUUUCUAUUUAAAAUGAAAGGAACAUGUGAAUCAGGUUCAGAUGUCUAGUGUGUAGGUGCAUACACAUGAGUGUGCACACAUGUAACUGCUUCAGCAUUACACACACUAACAUCUUGCUAUAAUGAAAGUUUUGGUGUUCAUCCUCAAUGAAACAUAAAAUUUCUGACUUUAUGGAGGCAACUGUAGAAUUUUUCAUAUUAUUGUUAAAUCCAAUAUUUUAGUUGUAAAAUAAUGUACCUCUCAGUCUUUCACUACAUACUUUUAAUUCAUUUUCCUUCAGAAAAAAUGAAAAAAGUCAUUGUCAUCAAAUAUAUGGAUGAAUAUACAAUGUAACAUUUUACAUUUUAUUUAUUGACAUUUAGUCCUCUGAAAAGUCUGCUUAAGUUACUAUUAAAGGAAAAUGGGUUAUUUCCAAAACUGCUACCACAUGGGAUUGCACUGAUUGGCUUCAUGCUCAUCUUAUCAAGAGCAAGAUAUUAGGAGGGUUUAUACUGCAUGUGGAAAUGUCAGCUGUGGUGUUCUGAUGUCUCAGUGAAUGUUUACUAUAAUCAUUAUUCAGUAGUCACUUGCAGUUUGGGAUUACAACUUUAAUAUCACCAGAAAAAUUUAGGCAAAUCUUGACAAAUUUGGUAGUGACUCCUUAUGGUUCUUUUGGAAGUGUGGCAUUUGAUUUAUUUGCAUACUGAUGGUCAACCUUUUUUAUUUUUAGGGCAGAUUGAUUCACUACUGUUAGUUUGACCAUUAUAUUCAAACCAGUUAAUUAUGUUGAUUUAAAAAUAAAUUUUAAAAGAGACUAUAAAGUUAGCUAUGUUUAUAGUUCUAUGAAACCACAUUUUCUAGCAUGUAGUUAUUUGACAUUUAGUUACUAACACCAAGUAAAGGUGAGGGUGAUUCUGAAGUAAAAGUAUAAUACGUGAUAUGGGUGGCAAAGCUGACUACUCACAGAUGUCUCAAAGACAUUCAUAUCUAGAUCAGCAGGUAUUUUUGAGGCAGCGGGAAGGCCUUUUGACUGAAGGCCUGGACUACACAACCAGAAUAGGUGCGCCUUGGUUGUGCCAAUAUGGUCCUCAUAGUCACUUUUGUAUAUCUCUGUAGUCCAACAAAUAUUUUCACCAAGAUAUAGAGGGCAUUAAGAUAUGCCUAAAACCUUUAAAAACUUUAAAAAAUCCCAAUUCUUAACAAUUUAGAGAGAAAGAGAAAGAUUGGCUAAUGGAAGAAGAGACACAAUUCAAAUACUGGUUAUUAAUAUUGUGUUUCAAGUAUAUAGUUUUCUGGAAAUGAAUAUUUAUAGUAGUAAUCAUCCUUCAUGUUGGUAAAGUAAUAGCUCUAUUUGAAUCAAAAAGUAUUUUUAACAUUUUGCCAAAAGUUUUAAUAUAUCUAUCAUCUAUAUAUCAUAUUUUUGCUGAACCAUUUGGAUAUAAGUUGCAGUCAUCAUGAUACUUCACCCCUAAAUGCUGCAGCAGCCAUCUUACAUACCUAAUACCAUUGUCACACCCAAGAUGAUCAAUAAAAUUCAAUAAUAUCAAUUAAUAUACCUUUAGAUUCAGAUCUUUGCACUUGACUCCAGUAUGUCUUUAAGAGCCAAAACAAAUGUUUUGAUAUAACAUUUUGCCAAGUGAAUCAAGUUCUUAUAAUGUCAUAACUAUAUUUUCUCAUUGGCCAUUGAACAGGCUUGCGUCUCCGUGGUCCCAAGCUACCAACUGAACCCACUAGAGUAAUUUGCUGGAAUGAGAAAUACUAACUGCCAAAACCAAAAAACAUUAAUCAGCAACCAGCCUGACUAUGAUUUCCAAGGUGCUAAUCACUUGGAAAAAUUGCCUCUCAUUGGCUCAGUCUAGAGAUAAUUACUAAUUAAAAAGCAGCUAGAAUAGUGAGAAGGUAUAUUAGCAUUUUAAUGGGUCUUGGUGCCCAAGGCUUGGAUUAUAAAUUAUGAAGACUGCAUUAGCCAGAUGAACAGGAUUAAUUAGCAUGCUAGUAUUACCUGGCAUCCUGUGGUGGUUGAGGAUAAACAAAGUGACCAUAACCAUUUUGGCAUAGUUUAUCAUUGCUCUUGGUGGUGAGAGGUAGGGUUUUAUUCUCUAGUUAGAGCACUGGCUGAAAGUCAGAAAUUCUGGGUACUAAUAAAUAGCAAAGCCUUUAGUCCUUCUGUACUUUGGCUAAAAUCUAUCUUCAUGUACUUCAGUUUCCUCUAUUAACUGAAAAGGGGAACCUGUGUAAACUCUUUACUCAUUAGUCUCUUCAUCUAUAAUAUAAAGAAGCUGAACUAGAAAUUCUAUAAGAUCCAUUCCAGAUUUGAGAUUUUAUGGGACUGUAUAGAUUCAUGCCCAGUAACAGAUCUGGAAUGGAAGGAAACGUAGGCUAAAAGCAAAUAUGUUUCACUAAACCAAUAUUUCCAAAUGAAAACAACCUAUAAACAAAUAUACCAGGGGUGAGUUUAUAUUUCCCAAGUCAAGCAGGCUGCUUUUUUGGCCUCCUACGUGGGUAUCCUUCUCAGAUAAGUAAAUGAUUGUUUUGUUUGCUCUUUUCUAGAACUGUAACUUCUAUACAGGUAUUGUGGGAAUCCUGAAAAGGAGAGAGGUGAGAUUUUCAUCUCAUCUGAGAGCUGGAACAUUCUAUUGAGCUCAUUAGAAGGAAUGUUACUUUCAGACUUCUUUAUUCAGUGGUUUCAGUUGUACUAAGGUAAAACCAUUUGACAGAGUAAAAUUUUUCUGCAGUUGUGACAUGAAGAGUCUAGUUUCUGUCACAAGAAUCUUUUCCUCAAUGAGUAUGUGGCUUUGAUGAGAGAUAUUUCUACUAUUGAACUUAAUGAUAAUAAUUAACAUUAAAUGAACAUUUCUGUUUGACAGGAUAGGGCUAAUUGUUUUACCAGGAUUAUUAGUAUAUUAUAGUUAAUCCUUAUGAAACACCAUGACAUUGGAUUUUUAAUAGCCCCAUAUAAUAGAUGAAUAAACUUAGAGAGUUUAGGCCACCCAACUGAGGUAAGGGGUUGGAAUUUAAAACCAAGGCAGGGUCUCAGAGUGCUCACUGCUACUACUGAUGCUAUGGCUAAAGUUACAGAAAGCAUGAGUCUUUGCUCAGUGUACUUAUGGCUCCAUGUCUCCAAGAAGAGACCUGAAAGUUUCAGAAAAUCCUUAAAGUUUUCCUUUGUCUUCCCUGCUUGUUACUUGCUCCCCAAUACCUACGACAGACACCUCAGUAGCUUCCUAACUGCCAGGCAGAUUCUUGGCAGUUUUGCUGUAGAAGGGAUUUAAGAAUUGAAGGGGUUGGCUGCCAAGGGUCCUUUCUAGUUUUGAAUGUCUUAAUCUCACUUGCAAUUCACAGCAUACAUUUGGAUUAUGAUUAGUAUUCCAGUGCCAGAACUUAGCCUCAUGUCAGUGUGAUGCCCUGAUUUGCCACCUUGAUGUUUAACAAAUAGGUGGCAUUGAUAAAGCAUGUUCAAAAACCAAGUGUGUCGAUGUGUUAACUUCUGUAUAAGGUCCGUGGUUCUCAUCACAAUGAGUUAAGAAACACUACUGCUUAUGACCUUGGUUUGGUCAUAGCUCAGUGUCAUACUCCUGCUGCAUUUUGUUGGUUCCCCGAGGUGCCUUUCUCUCCACUCUUUUUAACAAUGACACAUGAGAUAGCAUAACGCUUAAAUAGCAGAAUCUAGUUACAACAUUUAGUUUUAUUUGAAGUUUUUUCUUAUCAAUGAAAUUUAAUCAUAUAAAAGAAUGGAGGGAAUUUGAAAGAUAUAUUUAAAUAACUAUUUUGAUAAUAACUAGUGGUGUGUCCAUAAAACACGUGAUACUUCACUGUUCAUCUCAACUGAAGUACCCUGGGAUCUGUCCCCAAAUGGUUGAUUCCAUUCUGUAGAGCAUUAUAACCUGGUAUAUUAGCUUGUUCAGAUAUAAUAACAAAAUAUGGUAGACUGAGUGGCAUAAACAGCAGCAAUUUAUUUCUCAUAGGUCUGGAUGAGAAGUCCAAGAUCGGAGUUCCCAUCAUGGCUCAGUGGUUAACGAAUCCGACUAGGAACCAUGAGGUUGUGGGUUUGAUCCCUGGCCUUGCUCAGUGGGUUAAGUAUCUGGCGUUGCCAUGAGCUGUGUGUAGGUUGCAGACGCAGCUUGGAUCCUGUGUUGCUGUGGCUCUGGUGUACGCCAGCAGCUAGAGUUCCGAUUAGACCCCUCACCUGGGAACCUCCAUAUGCCUCAG
rnacentral:lncRNA from 1 species